AGUGAACGCUGGCGGUAGGCCUAACACAUGCAAGUCGAACGGCAGCACAGUAAGAGCUUGCUCUUACGGGUGGCGAGUGGCGGACGGGUGAGGAAUACAUCGGAAUCUACUUUUUCGGGGGGGAUAACGUAGGGAAACUUACGCUAAUACCGCAUACGACCUACGGGUGAAAGCAGGGGAUCUUCGGACCUUGCGCGAUUGAAUGAGCCGAUGUCGGAUUAGCUAGUUGGCGGGGUAAAGGCCCACCAAGGCGACGAUCCGUAGCUGGUCUGAGAGGAUGAUCAGCCACACGGGAACGGAGCCAGGGUCCAGACUCCUACGGGAGGCAGCAGUGGGGAAUAUUGGACAAUGGGCGCAAGCCUGAUCCAGCCAGACCGAGUGGGUGAAGAAGGCCUUCGGGUUGUAAAGACCUUUUGUUGGGAAAGAAAAGCAGCAGGUUAAUACCCCGCUGUUCUGACGGUACCCAAAGAAUAAGCACCGGCUAACUUCGUG
rnacentral:rRNA from 1 species